rnacentral:rRNA from 1 species
UACGUAGGGGGCAAGCGUUGUCCGGAAUCAUUGGGCGUAAAGCGCGUGUAGGCGGCCCGAUAAGUCCGCUGUGAAAGUCCAGGGCUCAACCCUGGAAUGCCGGUGGAUACUGUCGGGCUCGAGUCCGGAAGAGGCGAGUGGAAUUCCUGGUGUAGCGGUGAAAUGCGCGGAUAUCAGGAGGAACACCAAUGGCGAAGGCAGCUCGCUGGGACGGUACUGACGCUGAGACGCGAAAGCGUGGGGAGCAAACAGG